AAAGUCGUAACAAGGUUUCCGUAGGUGAACCUGCGGAAGGAUCAUUAUUGAAUACACUUGGAUUGGGUUGUUGCUGGCUUUUAUGGAGCAUGUGCACGCCUGUUCCAUUUUCUUCAACCUCCUGUGCACCUUUUGUAGACUUGAACAGCUUUCGAGAAAGGUUUUUUCCUCCUCGGUCUGAGAACUUGCUGUCUGAAAGGCUCAGCUGUUCUUGUGUUUCUGGUCUAUGUUUUAUCUAUACUCCUUAAAAUGUAAAAGAAUGUUUGUAAUUGGCUUUUCAUGCCUUUAAAAACAAGUACAACUUUCAACAACGGAUCUCUUGGCUCUC
rnacentral:misc_RNA from 1 species